rnacentral:rRNA from 1 species
CCAAUAGCGUAUAUUAAAGUUGUUGCAGUUAAAAAGCUCGUAGUUGAAUUUCGGGAUCGGUGGGUCGGUCGUGCCUCCGGUACGCACUGUCUUUACCGGUUCCUCCCUUCUGAAGAACCGCGAUGUCAUUAAUUUGGUGUUGCGGGGAAUCAGGACUGUUACUGUGAAAAAAUUAGAGUGUUUAAAGCAGGCUAAAGCUUGAAUACAUUAGCAUGGAAUAAUGAAAUAGGACGUUUGAUCUUAUUUUGUUGGUUUCUAAGAUCGACGUAAUGAUUAAUAGGGAUAGUUGGGGGAAUUAGUAUUCAAUUGUCAGAGGUGAAAUUCUUGGAUUUAUUGAAGACUAACUACUGCGAAAGCAUUUGCCAAGGAUGUUUUCAUUAAUCAAGAACGAAAGUUAGGGGAUCGAAGACGAUCAGAUACCGUCGUAGUCUUAACCAUAAACUAUGCCGACUAGGGAUCGGAUGAUGUUAAUUUUUUAAUGACUCAUUCGGCGCCUUACG